rnacentral:sRNA from 1 species
ACAACAACAAUAACAAGCACGACAACUCAAAAUAAGAACAAGACGAAACGACUCCAGCACAACAAAAACAAAAUCGCGGAGGCGCAGCUAACUGAUUCUUUUGGAGAAGAGUAGCCGUCGGGAGCAGUCCCGCAACCAGUCAGAGAAGAAUAAAACUGCUUGAAGGCAGCACGAGGACUGGUUGGAUCGCAAGAUCAUCGCUUACUCAGCGACCAAAGCAAUCCGUUUGCUAUUGAACACCUUCCAAGUGUGGAAGGUUCCCCGAAGCAGGUAGCUUCGAGGGUCGGGUCUACAAACAAAAACAACAAGCCCGGUAAUCAUAAUAAAAACAAAGCACGCACCUAUUUGGGGGGGAGCCUCGGCUCCCCCAGUAGCUUUCGCUACACCCUCUCCCCUUCUCCCCGCAAG